rnacentral:tRNA from 1 species
AGCCGACUGGCGCAAUGGCUAGCGUGGUGGGCCCAUAACCCACAGGUUGUAGGUUCGAAUCCUACGUCGGCUU